UGUGUGAGAGUGUGUGUGUGUGGUGUGUGUUUAAAAUACAGAAAAAAAAGAAGCAUGGCUUUCCUCAGCUGCAGAGGCGGGCCGGGUUCUGUCGGUGCCAAGUCCCUCAGAGCGGGCACUGUAGGGACACGGGAGGCACAAGAAGGCUGCAGAGGUGAGGGAUGGGUGUGGAGAAAGAUGGACGCUUGCCAUCUCGAGCGCCAGCGGCUGCACGAGGCCAGACCCCACGAACAAAACCCACGGCAGAUCUCUGGCAACCCAUGUUAGGAGGCAGAAGACAGUUGGCAGCGCUGCGGCACAGAGGACAGCCUGGGAGCGGGCGGAUGUAGCCAAGGCCAGCAUGGAACAGGGGAGGAAGCAUCUUUCUCAACCCCAGUGACUGAAUCUGACAGGACAAUCCUCUCUCCGGUCCCUUCCUUCCUAUUUUUCAUAUCCAUUUUUCCCCUGAAGAGGCUUGACAACUGCCACUCCCCUGGAAUUUGGGAUCUGCAUACUCAGGUUCCAGGAACCCGGAACAGGACCCUGGACUCGACAGAGUACAGUAAUCUAUGGCGUAGACAAUCUGCUGUUUCUACAACUGAUAUUUUGUCUUGUGACAUUUCUCAAGCUUGCAUUGGAAGCAGGUGUGUA